ACGACGUCUCUUCAAACCUCCUAAGCGGCCGAGCCUCUGCAACACUCCCAAGUUUUGCUGAUGGAUAAGCCCCCACCAGCAUCGAUCGGAUUCUUCGUGAUGGAUGGACUCCACCCAAAUUUCCACGGUGAUCGACCAUCUUCUAGACUUCGCCGGAACUCCUACGGGAGCCGGACCUAUCCCCAACUCUGGCUGCAAGAAGGGAGCUGGACUCCGCCCACGAUUCACUUGCAGGUAGACCUUGUCCGGACUCCUACGGGAGCCGGACUUCGCCCCCAACUCCAAUUGCAGGUAGACUUCGCCCGGACUCUUAUGGGAGCC
rnacentral:lncRNA from 1 species